rnacentral:rRNA from 1 species
UACGAAGGGGGCUAGCGUUGUUCGGAAUUACUGGGCGUAAAGCGCACGUAGGCGGACUAUUAAGUCAGGGGUGAAAUCCCGGGGCUCAACCCCGGAACUGCCUUUGAUACUGGUAGUCUCGAGUCCGGAAGAGGUGAGUGGAAUCCCGAGUGUAGAGGUGAAAUUCGUAGAUAUUCGGAGGAACACCGGUGGCGAAGGCGGCCCACUGGUCCGGUACUGACGCUGAGGUGCGAAAGCGUGGGGAGCAAACAGG